CUCCGCAAGGUUGGUAGAGGAGCAUUGAAUGCGGGAAGAGGCUGUACCGUAAGGAGCAGUGGACUGCAUUGAAGAGAGAAUGCCGGAAUGAGUAGCGAGAAAUAGGUGAGAAUCCUAUUGGCCGAAUAUCCAAGGAUUCCAGGGUAAAGCUGAUCUGCCCUGGGUAAGUCGGGGCCUAAGGCGAGGUCGGAAGACGUAGCCGAUGGACAACAGGUGGAGAUUCCUGUACUGCAUAUGGUCAGAACUGUGGGGACACGGGGUGUUAACGGAAGCCGGGAAAGGAAAGACCGGCCCAAGCACAGGAGGCGUUGCGCAGGCAAAUCCGCGCAAUAAGCCAGAGGUGUGACGGGGAGCGAAAUAAAAGUAGCGAAGUCCGGAUACAUGCUGUCAAGAAAAGCCGCUAUUGCGCCAUAUGUACCCGUACCGUAAACCGACACAGGUGGAUGAGGAGAGAAUCCUAAGGCCGGCGGGAGAAGUGUUGUUAAGGAACUCGGCAAAAUGGCCCCGUAACUUCGGGAGAAGGGGCGCCCAGAAAUGGGCCGCAGAGAAAAGGCUCAAGCAACUGUUUAGCAAAAACACAGGUCUAUGCGAAACCGAAAGGUGAGGUAUAUGGGCUGACGCCUGCCCGGUGCUGGAAGGUUAAGGGGAGAGGUUAGCCGCAAGGCGAAGCUUUGAACUUAAGCCCCAGUAAACGGCGGCCGUAACUAUAACGGUCCUAAGGUAGCGAAAUUCCUUGUCGGGUAAGUUCCGACCCGCACGAAAGGCGUAAUGAUUUGAGCACUGUCUCGACAACACACCCGGUGAAAUUGAAAUACCAGUGAAGAUGCUGGUUACCUGCGCCAGGACGGAAAGACCCCAUGGAGCUUUACUCUAGUUUGAUACUGGGACCCGGUAUGACAUGUACAGGAUAGGUGGGAGGCAGAGAAUUAAUGACGCCAGUCAUUAAGGAGCCGGUGUUGGGAUACCACCCUUGUGAUGCCAGGUUUCUAACGAGCUGCCGUGAACCGGCAGGCGGACAAUGUCAGGCGGGGAGUUUGACUGGGGCGGUCGCCUCCGAAAGGGUAUCGGAGGCGCUCAAAGGUUCCCUCAGAAUGGUUGGAAACCAUUCGGAGAGUGCAAAGGCAGAAGGGAGCCUGACUGCGACACCGACGGGUGGAGCAGGUACGAAAGUAGGACUUAGUGAUCCGGUGGUAUAAAGUGGGAUUGCCAUCGCUCAACGGAUAAAAGCUACCCUGGGAUAACAGGCUUAUCACUCCCAAGAGUUCACAUCGACGGAGUGGUUUGGCACCUCGUUGUCGGCUCAUCGCAUCCUGGGGCUGGAGUAGGUCCCAAGGGUUGGGCUGUUCGCCCAUUAAAGCGGUACGCGAGCUGGGUUCAGAACGUCGUGAGACAGUUCGGUCCCUAUCCGGCGCGGGCGUAAGAGAUUUGAGAGGAGCUGUCCUUAGUACGAGAGGACCGGGAUGGACGGACCACUGGUGUAUCUGUUGCACCACCAGGUGCACGGCAGAGUAGCCAAGUCUGGAAGGGAUAAACGCUGAAGGCAUCUAAGCGUGAAGCCCCCCUCAAGAUAAGAUCUCUCAUUCGAAAGAAGUAAGACCCCUUGAAGACGACGAGGUAGAUAGGGCAGGGGUGGAAGGGCAGUAAUGUCCGGAGCUGACUGUUACUAAUCGGUCGAGGGCUUGAUCA
rnacentral:rRNA from 1 species